rnacentral:ncRNA from 1 species
CACUCUGGAGAGUCUCGAUGGACGAGCGCCGAAGGUGUACAGCGGAAACAUAUCUUCCGCCAAUCUCUCAGGCAAAAGGACAGGGC